GAUGAACGCUGACAGAAUGCUUAACACAUGCAAGUCAACUUGAAUUUGGGUUUUUAACUUAGGUUUGGGUGGCGGACGGGUGAGUAACGCGUAAAGAACUUGCCUCACAGCUAGGGACAACAUUUGGAAACGAAUGCUAAUACCUAAUAUUAUGAUAAUAGGGCAUCCUAUAAUUAUGAAAGCUAUAAGCGCUGUGAGAGAGCUUUGCGUCCCAUUAGCUAGUUGGAGAGGUAACGGCGCACCAAGGCGAUGAUGGGUAGCCGGCCUGAGAGGGUGAUCGGCCACAAGGGGACUGAGACACGGCCCUUACUCCUACGGGAGGCAACAGUGGGGAAUAUUGGACAAUGGACCGAGAGUCUGAUCCAGCAAUUCUGUGUGCACGAUGAAGUUUUUCGGAAUGUAAAGUGCUUUCAGUUGGGAAGAAACAAAUGACGGUACCAACAGAAGAAGUGACGGCUAAAUACGUG
rnacentral:rRNA from 1 species